AUUUAAAUAAAUGAGCAAGAGAGGAGUAAGGUGUUAGAAAGUCAUCAAGAUUACUCAUUUUGCAUACAACUCAAAUUGAAAUAGAUCAAAGACUUAGGAAUUAGGCCAGAAACGUCGCAAUUGCCAGAAGAAAACAUAGGGUCAACAUUCUGUCAUAUAGGCGCUGGCACCAAGUUGCUUAACAAGACCUCCAAAGCCCAAGAAAUAAAACCAAGAAUCAGUAAAUGAGAUGCUUCUGCAAAGCAAAGGAAACCAUUAAGAGCAUGGAAAGCUUACAGAGUGGGAGAAAAUCUUGGCCAUCUAUUCCUCCAAUAAGGAAUUAAUAUCUAGAAUAUAUAAAAAAGUAAAAAAACUUAACACCAAAAAAAAAACAACAAACAAAAAACCCUAUCAAUAAAUGGGCAAAAGAACCAAACAGAAACUUCUCAAAAGAGAAAAUCCUACGGACUUGGGACUAAGGCAGGAGGAUUUUAAAUUCAAAGCCAGCCUCGGCAACUUAGCAAGACCCUGUCUCAAAAAAUAAAAAGGGCUGGGGAUGUGACUCAGAGGUUAAAUGCCCCUGGGUUCAGUCCCCAGUACAAAAAAAAAAAAAAAAGAAAAAGUGAAACACAAAUGGGCAACAAAUUCUCUCUCUCUCUCUCUCAUAUAUAUAUAAAGCCUCAAUAUGUUUAGCAGUCAGGGAACUGUAAAUCAAAACUAUGCUAAGAUUUUAUCUUACUCCAGUCAGAAUGGCAAUUAUCAGGAAUACAAACAAUAAUGAAUGUUGCUGAGGUUGUUGGGGAAAAGUAUACUUGUACAUUGUUGGUGGGACUUCAGACUAGUACAACCACUCUGGAAAGCAGUGUGGAGAUUCCUCAAAAAACUAUGGAUGAGGGCUGGGUUUGUGGCUUAGUGGUAGAGCACUCACCUAGCAUGGAUGAGGCACUGGGUUUGAUCCUCAGCA
rnacentral:lncRNA from 1 species